CAGGAUGAACGCUAGCUACAGGCUUAACACAUGCAAGUCGAGGGGAAACGACAUCGAAAGCUUGCUUUUGAUGGGCGUCGACCGGCGCACGGGUGAGUAACGCGUAUCCAACCUGCCCACCACUUGGGGAUAACCUUGCGAAAGUAAGACUAAUACCCAAUGAUAUCUCUAGAAGACAUCUGAAAGAGAUUAAAGAUUUAUCGGUGAUGGAUGGGGAUGCGUCUGAUUAGCUUGUUGGCGGGGUAACGGCCCACCAAGGCAACGAUCAGUAGGGGUUCUGAGAGGAAGGUCCCCCACAUUGGAACUGAGACACGGUCCAAACUCCUACGGGAGGCAGCAGUGAGGAAUAUUGGUCAAUGGACGAGAGUCUGAACCAGCCAAGUAGCGUGCAGGAUGACGGCCCUAUGGGUUGUAAACUGCUUUUAUAAGGGAAUAAAGUGAGUCUCGUGAGACUUUUUGCAUGUACCUUAUGAAUAAGGACCGGCUAAUUCCGUGCCAGCAGCCGCGGUAAUACGGAAGGUCCGGGCGUUAUCCGGAUUUAUUGGGUUUAAAGGGAGCGUAGGCCGGAGAUUAAGCGUGUUGUGAAAUGUAGACGCUCAACGUCUGCACUGCAGCGCGAACUGGUUUCCUUGAGUACGCACAAAGUGGGCGGAAUUCGUGGUGUAGCGGUGAAAUGCUUAGAUAUCACGAAGAACUCCGAUUGCGAAGGCAGCUCACUGGAGCGCAACUGACGCUGAAGCUCGAAAGUGCGGGUAUCGAACAGGAUUAGAUACCCUGGUAGUCCGCACGGUAAACGAUGGAUGCCCGCUGUUGGUCUGAAUAGGUCAGCGGCCAAGCGAAAGCAUUAAGCAUCCCACCUGGGGAGUACGCCGGCAACGGUGAAACUCAAAGGAAUUGACGG
rnacentral:rRNA from 1 species